GAUGAACGCUAGCGGCAGGCCUAAUACAUGCAAGCCGAACGGCAAGAUUUCAGCAAUGGAAAUCCUAGAGUGGCGUAAGGGUGCGUAACACGUAUGCAAUCUGCCCUCAACAGGAGGAUAGCUCCCCGAAAGGGGAACUAAGACUCCAUAAGAUCUUAGAGUGGCAUCACUUAGAGAUUAAACUACCAGGGGUUGAGGAUGAGCAUGCGCAUGGAUUAGUUAGUUGGCGGGGUAACGGCCCACCAAGACGAUGAUCAUUAGGGGAACUGAGAGGUUGAUCCCCCACACUGGCACUGAGAUACGGGCCAGACUCCUACGGGGAGGCAGCAGUAGGGAAUAUUGGACAAU
rnacentral:rRNA from 1 species